rnacentral:rRNA from 1 species
UACACAUGCAAGUCGAGCGAUGAAACACCUUCGGGUGUGAAUUAGCGGCGAACGGGUGAGGAACACGUGAAGAAUCUGCCUUCAACUCUGGGAUAACUCCGGGAAACCGGGGCUAAUACCGGAUAUGAGCCUCGAUCGCAUGAUUGGGGCUGGAAAGUUUUUCGGUUGAAGAUGACUUCGCGGCCUAUCAGCUUGUUGGUGAGGUAAUGGCUCACCAAGGCGACGACGGGUAGCCGGCCUGAGAGGGCGACCGGCCACACUGGGACUGAGACACGGCCCAGACCCCUACGGGAGGCAGCAGUGGGGAAUAUUGGGCAAUGGAGGAAACUCUGACCCAGCGACGCCGCGUGAGGGAUGAAGGCCUUCGGGUUGUAAACCUCUUUCAGUAGGGAAGAAGCGAAAGUGACGGUACCUACAGAAGAAGCACCGGCUAACUAUGUGCCAGCAGCCGCGGUAAUACAUAGGGUGCAAGCGUUGUCCGGAAUUAUUGGGCGUAAAGAGCUCGUAGGUGGUUCGAUACGUCGGAUGUGAAAAUCAGGGGCUCAACCCCUGACCUGCAUCCGAUACGGUCGAACUAGAGUUUGGUAGGGGAGACUGGAAUUCCUGGUGUAGCGGUGGAAUGCGCAGAUAUCACGAGGAACACCGAUGGCGAAGGCAGGUCUCUGGGCCAAUACUGACACUGAGGAGCGAAAGCGUGGGGAGCGAACAGGAUUAGAUACCCUGGUAGUCCACGCCGUAUACGGUGGGCGCUAGUUGUGCGAACCUUCCACGGUUUGUGCGACGCAGCUAACGCAUUAAGCGCCCCGCCUGGGGAGUACGAUCGCAAGAUUAAAACUCAAA